UACGGAGGGUGCAAGCGUUAUCCGGAUUCACUGGGUUUAAAGGGAGCGUAGGUGGGGUGGUAAGUCAGUGGUGAAAUCUCCGGGCUUAACUCGGAAACUGCCGGUUGAUACUAUCAUUCUUGAAUAUUGUGGAGGUAAGCGGAAUAUGUCAUGUAGCGGUGAAAUGCUUAGAUAUGACAUAGAACACCAAUUGCGAAGGCAGCUUACUACACAGUUAUUGACGCUGAGGCACGAAAGCGUGGGGAUCAAACAGG
rnacentral:rRNA from 1 species